GUGGUGGCAUGUGCCCAUAACCCCAGCUACUCAGGAGGCUGAGGCAGGAGAACUGCUUGAACCCGGGAGGUGGAGGUUGCAGUGAGCUGAGAUCGUGCCACUGUACUCCAGCCUGGGCAACAAGAACAAAACUCUGUCUCAAAAAAAAAAAAAAAAUCUUGAUAAGAUUUCAUCUCUUUUCUCACUUUCUAUUGUCCCAAGAGCUAGUUCAUAAAUCUGCCUCAUAAUUAACCAGCUCUGUUAUUGACAAUCUUUAAAUAAAUAAAUAGGCAGAUCCUUUUUAGCUAGAUGCAAAAAACUACUUCACUUUGCACUUCCUGCUCCAACCCUCUGAACCUGUCUCCUUUCUGAAGGCCCAGUUACCAUUCUCCAUGACACAGACCAACCUGAUCCUAUUCCACAAUAGGAAAUUUCACAUGUCCUUAGAACUUCAAGUUAAUAAAUAGUAACACAGUAUGCUACAUGACUUUGUAUAAAGAAGGAGUACUGGCCAAGCGCCGUGGUCCACACCUGUAAUCCCAGCGCUUUGGGAGGCCAAGGCAAGUGGAUCACUUUAGGUCAGGAGUUUGAGACCAGCCUGGCCAACAAUGGUGAAAUCCCAUCUCUGCUAAAAAUAUAUAAAUCAGCCGGGCAUGGUGGUGGGCUCCUGUAGCCCCAGCUACUCAGAAGGCUGAGGCAGGAGAAUUUCUUGAUCCCAGGAGGUAGAGGUUGCAGUGAGCUGGGGUUGCACCACUGUACUCCAGCCUGGACAACAGAGCAAGA
rnacentral:lncRNA from 1 species